AGACCCGAAACCCGGUGAUCUAGCCAUGGGCAGGUUGAAGGUUGGGUAACACUAACUGGAGGACCGAACCGACUAAUGUUGAAAAAUUAGCGGAUGACCUGUGGCUGGGGGUGAAAGGCCAAUCAAACCGGGAGAUAGCUGGUUCUCCCCGAAAGCUAUUUAGGUAGCGCCUCGUGAAUUCAUCUCCGGGGGUAGAGCACUGUUUCGGCUAGGGGGCCAUCCCGGCUUACCAACCCGAUGCAAACUGCGAAUACCGGAGAAUGUUAUCACGGGAGACACACGGCGGGUGCUAACGUCCGUCGUGAAGAGGGAAACAACCCAGACCGCCAGCUAAGGUCCCAAAGUCAUGGUUAAGUGGGAAACGAUGUGGGAAGGCCCAGACAGCCAGGAUGUUGGCUUAGAAGCAGCCAUCAUUUAAAGAAAGCGUAAUAGCUCACUGGUCGAGUCGGCCUGCGCGGAAGAUGUAACGGGGCUAAACCAUGCACCGAAGCUGCGGCAGCGAGCGUAUCACCCAAGACAACUUUACGGAGUUGACGAUUGACGGAGCGAAGCGACGUCAAAGCGUUCAUUAAAGUCGAGUUGGCUUAGGGAUACGUUCGUUGGGUAGGGGAGCGUUCUGUAAGCCUGUGAAGGUGUGUCGUGAGGCAUGCUGGAGGUAUCAGAAGUGCGAAUGCUGACAUAAGUAACGAUAAAGCGGGUGAAAAGCCCGCUCGCCGGAAGACCAAGGGUUCCUGUCCAACGUUAAUCGGGGCAGGGUGAGUCGACCCCUAAGGCGAGGCCGAAAGGCGUAGUCGAUGGGAAACGGGUUAAUAUUCCCGUACUUGGUGUUACUGCGAAGGGGGGACGGAGAAGGCUAUGUUGGCCGGGCGACGGUUGUCCCGGUUUAAGCGUGUAGGUGUGUGUUCCAGGUAAAUCCGGUUCACUUUAACACUGAGGCGUGACGACGAGGCACUACGGUGCUGAAGCAACAAAUGCCCUGCUUCCAGGAAAAGCCUCUAAGCAUCAGGUAACACGAAAUCGUACCCCAAACCGACACAGGUGGUCAGGUAGAGAAUACCAAGGCGCUUGAGAGAACUCGGGUGAAGGAACUAGGCAAAAUGGUGCCGUAACUUCGGGAGAAGGCACGCUGACACGUAGGUGAAGUGAUUUACUCAUGGAGCUGAAGUCAGUCGAAGAUACCAGCUGGCUGCAACUGUUUAUUAAAAACACAGCACUGUGCAAACACGAAAGUGGACGUAUACGGUGUGACGCCUGCCCGGUGCCGGAAGGUUAAUUGAUGGGGUCAGCGUAAGCGAAGCUCCUGAUCGAAGCCCCGGUAAACGGCGGCCGUAACUAUAACGGUCCUAAGGUAGCGAAAUUCCUUGUCGGGUAAGUUCCGACCUGCACGAAUGGCGUAAUGAUGGCCAGGCUGUCUCCACCCGAGACUCAGUGAAAUUGAACUCGCUGUGAAGAUGCAGUGUACCCGCGGCAAGACGGAAAGACCCCGUGAACCUUUACUAUAGCUUGACACUGAACAUUGAGCCUUGAUGUGUAGGAUAGG
rnacentral:rRNA from 1 species